CUCACCAGCAAGAUCAGAUGUCGUUGUGAAAUCCGUCGAAGAUUAGCACUCGGCGACUACAGCUCUAAAUUAGAUCGAAAUAGCAUGGGACCACGAAGUUGGAUUUGUUAUUUGAUAUCUGAGAAGUGCAAGGAGCUUGUGGAGAAAGCAAGAUCUAAGAAGCUACAACUCCAUGAGUACAAUUCAGAUCAAGUGAGUUCCAUCCAGAGGUCCCAAGAGUGAGACGUGACGGUUCUUAUAUAUACGAGUAGUUUAUGCCAACUGGAGGAACAGAUGUUAAGGUGUAUACAGUUGGUGCAGAGUAUGCACACGCUGAGGCAAGAAAAUCUCCGGUUGUUGAUAGUGUCGUGAUGUGAAAUCCAGAUGGCAAAGUAAGUGA